rnacentral:rRNA from 1 species
CAGAUUGAGAGCUCUUUCUUGAUUCUGUGGGUGGUGGUGCAUGGCCGUUUUUAGUUGGUGGAGUAAUUUGUCUGGUUAAUUCCGUUAACGAACGAGACCUUAACCUAUUAAAUAGUCGUGGGAACCCAGGUCUUUCAUCCUCUUUCUCAGCAAUGGGGGGAGGAAACCAUUAUCAUAUUGGUACCCUCUGGGUAUCAUGUGGUAGUGGUGAGGAUCUGAUAGUGUUCUUAUAGGCUUCUUAGAGGGACUCUUUGCAUCUUUAGCAAAUGGAAGUUUGAGGCAAAAACAGGUCUGUGAUGCCCUUCGAUGUUCUGGGCUGCACGCGCGUUACAAUGACGCAUGCAACGAGUUAUUAAAAUUCCUGGCCCGAUGGGGUUGGGUAAUCUUUUUAAAGUGCGUCGUGAUGGGG